rnacentral:rRNA from 1 species
ACAGAGGGUGCGAGCGUUGUUCGGAAUCAUUGGGCGUAAAGCGCUUGUAGGCGGCUUGUUAAGUCGCGUGUGAAAUCCCUUGGCUCAACCAAGGAAGUGCGCGCGAAACUGGCGAGCUCGAGUGCCGGAGAGGGUCGCGGAAUUCCCGGUGUAGCGGUGAAAUGCGUAGAUAUCGGAAGGAACACCUGUGGCGAAAGCGGCUCACUGGACCAUUACUGACGCUGAGGCACGAAAGCUAGGGGAGCAAACAGGA